CCCUUAGAUGUCCUGGGCCGCACGCGCGCUACACUGAUGCAUUCAACGAGUUUUACCUUGGCCGAGAGGCCUGGGCAAUCUUUUGAACCUGCAUCGUGAUAGGGAUAGAUUAUUGCAAUUAUUAAUCUUGAACGAGGAAUUCCUAGUAAACGCAGAUCAUCAAUCUGCAUUGAUUACGUCCCUGCCCUUUGUACACACCGCCCGUCGCACCUACCGAUUGAAUGGUCCGGUGAAGCCUCGGGAUUGUGGCGAGUUCCCUUUAUUGGGAGUUUGCCGCGAGAACUUGUCUAAACCUUAUCAUUUAGAGGAAGGUGAAGUCGUAACA
rnacentral:rRNA from 1 species